rnacentral:rRNA from 1 species
CCUACGGGCGGCAGCAGUGGGGGAUAUUGCACAAUGGGGGGAACCCUGAUGCAGCGACGCCGCGUGGGUGAAGAAGCGCCUCGGCGCGUAAAGCCUUUUUAGCAGGGAAGCAAAUGACGGUACCUGAAGAAGAAGCCCCGGCUAAAUACGUGCCAGCAGCCGCGGUAAUACGUAGGGGGCAAGCGUUAUUCGGAUUUACUGGGUGUAAAGGGUGCGUUGACGGAGAAGCAAGUUACUUGUGAAGUCCCUCGGGUUAACUGAGGAACUGCAACUGAAACUACUUCCCUUGAGUGGUGGAGAGGAAAGUGGAAUUCCUGGUGUAGCGGUGAAAUGCGUAGAUAUUAGGCAGAACACCAGUGGCGAAGGCGACUUUCUGGACAGUAACUGACGUUGAGGCACGAAAGUGUGGGGAGCGAACAGGAUUAGAUACCCUGGUAGUC